rnacentral:rRNA from 1 species
CCUACGGGGGGCAGCAGUGAGGAAUAUUGGUCAAUGGACGAGAGCCUGAACCAGCCAAGUCGCGUGAAGGAUGACUGCCCUAUGGGUUGUAAACUUCUUUUAUAUGGGAAUAAAAUGUUCCACGUGUGGGAUUUUGUAUGUACCCUAUGAAUAAGGAUCGGCUAACUCCGUGCCAGCAGCCGCGGUAAUACGGAGGAUCCGAGCGUUAUCCGGAUUUAUUGGGUUUAAAGGGAGCGUAGGUGGGUUGUUAAGUCAGUUGUGAAAGUUUGCGGCUCAACCGUAGAAGUGCAGUUGAAACUGGCAGUCUUGAGUACAGUAGAGGUAGGCGGAAUGCGUGGUGUAGCGGUGAAAUGCUUAGAUAUCACGAAGAACUCCGAUUGCGAAGGCAGUUCACUGGACUGCAACUGACGCUGAGGCUCGAAAGUGUGGGUAUCGAACAGGAUUAGAUACUCCUGUAGUC